UCACUCGCCGACUCCAGGUCCCGGGGCUUCCCGGCCUCCCUGAUGGUGUGAGCCAGUUCCUGUCAUCAGAACCCUGCUUCCUACGCUGUGUCUUUGGGGCUGCUACAGGAGUCUGACGUCAGCCAUCCCUGGAGGCAGGACAGCCCUCCAUACGGUCACCACUCCCAGCAGAGUGAGCAAAGAUGAUAAGAGAAUGGAAGCUGGGUCUAGCCUCAGAAGACAUCUCAUCACUGUUCCCUCAUUCAGUUGUUGGAGGUCUGCCCUAAGAUGCAGAAAGCCAGAGGCUGGACACCUGUGCCUCCACCUGCAGGGACAGCAGUGUGCCCCGCGUCAGGACCACUCAGACACUGGUUUCCGUCGGCUCGGUCCACAGGCCACUGACCGUGAGUUCACCCCUGGCCCCCAGACCCCUGCCAAUAGACCUGGAGGAGGCAUGGUAGGCUGUUUGGGUGAAAACCGCAUGGCAGAGCGCGAGUAAACCCUGUGAAAACAGGUCCUCACUGGGUCCAGGGGACAGAGUCUGUGCCCCUGUGCCUUGGUCCCCUGUGCACAGGAGGCGGAGGCCUUGUUUGGGCGCCUGCUUUGCUUUCACCUGCAUCCAGGCGGCAAGUCGGGGUGCUGACUAUGAGUGGUGUGCAGAGUUGGUGGAGGUGCCCCUGGGGUCACAGGACUUGGUCCUUGGGACCCAGGGACCCCAGGGCCCCAGCGGCUGCUGGGGAAGCUGAGAUGCAGAAGGUCAGUGCCAGUCCUGUGCAGGCACACAGCCGUGCCCUUGGCCAGGACCUCACCUCCCUGUGGGACUCCUCGUUCGGCUCCCCUCUGGGCCGGGGAAGAGGUGGACCGCUGCACAUGGGGUGGCAGGGUGACCCGAGCUGCCUGUCUUGAAGGGGGUGUCAUUCGUGCACCGGCUCAUGUAGUUGGGCUGGCCAGCAGCUCCCCACUGCCCAGUGAGGUUGGGGGUCUGGACUCUUGUAAGGUCCCUGGAGCCCGUGGCAGGCAGGCAGUGUCUCCUUCCGCAUCCUGCCCGUGCUGCCACAGGGAGAGGAGCCGCCCGCGGGCCCAGCAGGACACCCCUACAGCCAGAUGCCCAGCUUGUCGCAGUGGCGCGUCCAGUUCUGCACCACAAUGCCAGGCCUCCGGGAGCCCCGCCUGCCCCCUGGUAGCAGGUUCACUGACGUGAGACCCCUUGUGGGCCAGGAAUCUCCAGAGAAACCGCACCAGUGGGAUGCGUGUGCGCUCACUCACUCAGUCGUGUCCGACUCUUUGUGACCCCCUGGACUGUAGCCCACCAGGCUCCUCUGUCGAUGGGAUUCUCCAGGCAAGAAUGCUGGAGUGGGCCGCCUUGUCCUCCUCCAGGGGAUCUUCCCACCCAGGGGUGGAACUCCCAUCUCUCGAGUCUCGUGCCUUGGCGGGCGGGUGUUUCUUUUUUUUUUUACCACGGGGCCCAUCGGGAAGCCCACCAGUGGGGUAUCUGUCUCUAUACCCGUCCAUCCAUCCCUCAUUCAUCCACCCUUCCAUCUCUCCAUCCAUACACCCGUCCACCUAUCAUCCAGCUAUUUACCUACCUACCUCUCUAUAAAAUAUGUACUACCAGGAAAUAGCUCGCGUGGUUACGGGGCUGGGAAUGACCUGCCGUGGGCACACGGGCGGCCCAGGAAGGCCAGCUUGGGGACGUCAUCCAGCCUGAGUCUGGAGGCCUGAGCCCCAGCUGACGUUGUGACCACAGUCUCAGGGCAGGAGGAGGUGCCUGGAGCCGCCCCAGCUCAGGGGGUGGGGCCGGAGGAGGGGCGUUCUCCUUUCCCCCGUGUGUUCCGUUCAGGCGUCGGGGGACGGCUGGUGCCCCUCAACAUGGGGGAGGCUGCCUACUUUCCUGCGUCCACAGUUCAGUGCCAACCUCCCCAGGAAACACUACCCCCGCAGCCGCCCCAGAAGUCACGUCCCCUCUGGCGGGUCAUGCCGACACACUGCUGAACACGGCCCUCCCGUCACAGGAAGGGCAGCAGCGGUUCCCACCGGCCGGCCCGCGCCCUGCGUUUGGAUUGCCCGUGCCUGCGCCCGUCCUUCCCUUACUCACCAACUUAACACCGUGCUGCUGGGCUAGCUCUUCCCGGAUCCCUGUUUCUGGGCAAGGACCUGACCUUACAUAAAGAGGAGCAAGGCAAGCGGAGGUGCCCUGGGCUCCCCGAGAGCCACCCGGUACCCGGCUCCUCAAGGAGAAGACCCCAUGGGAUGGCAGCCUAGCCUUGGCAUCGUUUAGGACCACGGCUGGGGCAGCGGGGUGACAGUUGCCCUGUGUCCUCUGGACAUGCUAGUCAAUGCCGCCAUCUCCCCCAAAUCAGGAUGCACGGCCGUGGAGGCCGCGGGCUGGGAGGGCCGCUUCCUGUGAUUAGAAUGAAUGGGCUGCUCACAUUCUGCCUCCCGCCCGUGUUGGUCCCUGCUCACCUGGUUUUCAGUCCCAGCAAAGGGAUGCUUUGAACAAAACAAUGGUGACGUUGAGUUGGAAGGGGGAGAGUCUCCACCUGGCCCACCAGGGGCUCCUCUGCCAGUGGACUAAGGGGCCCCGAAGGGGGCCACGGUGAUGGGAUCAAGGGGAAAUGGGGUCCUGCUCCUGAGUGAGGGCGGGAUGACGGGGUGAUGAGGGUCCAUGGCGGAGGUCACCACCGGGAGGAGGCCUUCGUUCCCAGCACCCUCCCCACGAAGAGUGGGCUGGGCAGCAGGAGAAGCCGGUGAGAGGGCCCAGACGGGGGUGGGC